rnacentral:ribozyme from 2 species
CCUGUAAUGUAGCCACAGUGAUGUGCCAGUCCCAAGCCUGGAUGAAUACAGAGGGAAAC